AUUGAACGCUGGCGGCAGGCCUAACACAUGCAAGUCGAACGAGUGGCGGACGGGUGAGUAAUGUCUGGGAAACUGCCCGAUGGAGGGGGAUAACUACUGGAAACGGUAUCUAAUACCGCAUACCAUCGGAUGUGCCCAGAUGGGAUUAGCUAGUAGGUGGGGUAACGGCUCACCUAGGCGACGAUCCCUAGCUGGUCUGAGAGGAAGACCAGCCACACUGGAGCUUAGACACUGUCCAGACUCCUACGGGAGGCAGCAGUGGGGAAUAUUGCACAAUGGGCGCAAGCCUGAUGCAGCCAUGCCGCGUGUAUGAAGAAGGCCUUCGGGGUGUAAAGUACUUUCAGCUGGGAGGCGUUACCCGCAGAAGAAGCACCGGCUAACUCCGUGCCAGCAGCCGCGGUAAUGC
rnacentral:rRNA from 1 species